GAGUUUGAUCUUGGCUCAGGAUGAACGCUAGCUACAGGCUUAACACAUGCAAGUCGAGCGAAGCACUUUUGCGGAUUUCUUCGGAUUGAAGCAACUGUGACUGAGCGGCGGACGGGUGAGUAACGCGUGGGUAACCUGCCUCAUACAGGGGGAUAACAGUUGGAAACGGCUGCUAAUACCGCAUAAGCGCACAGUACCGCAUGGUACGGUGUGAAAAACUCCGGUGGUAUGAGAUGGACCCCGCGUCU
rnacentral:rRNA from 1 species